ensembl:misc_RNA Metazoa_SRP Metazoan signal recognition particle RNA
GCCAGGUGUGGUGGCGUGUACCUGUAGUCCCAGCUACUUGGGAGGCUGAGGCAGGAGAAUUGCUUGAACCCGGGAGGUGGAGGUUGCAGUGAGGCGAGAUCAUGCCACUGCACUCCAGCCUGGGUGACAGAGUGAGACUCUGUCUCAA